rnacentral:rRNA from 1 species
CUUUACUGUAGCUUGAGAUUGGGUUCGGGCUUUUCUUGCGCAGCAUAGGUGGGAGGCUUUGAUUGUAUUCUUGUGGGAGUACAGGAGCCAUCAGUGAGAUACCACUCUGGGAAAGCUAGAAUUCUAACUUCUAACCGUUAUCCGGUUGAGGAACAGUUUCAGGUGGGCAGUUUGACUGGGGCGGUCGCCUCCUAAAAGGUAACGGAGGCGUGCAAAGGUUCCCUCAGACUGGUCGGAAAUCAGUUGUAGAGUGUAAAGGCAUAAGGGAGCUUGACUGCGAGACCUACAAGUCGAGCAGAGACGAAAGUCGGCCUUAGUGAUCCGACGGUUCCGAGUGGAAGGGCCGUCGCUCAACGGAUAAAAGUUA